GCGUCGGUAAUACAUGGUUAGCAUACGCUCCCGGAAAGAGUGAGACCUGGGUUCAAAUCCCGGCUGACGCA